GAAAUGCGAUAAGUAGUGUGAAUUGCAGAAUUCAGUGAAUCAUCGAAUCUUUGAACGCACAUUGCGCCCUUUGGUAUUCCAAAGGGCAUGCUUGUUCGAGCGUCAUUUGUACCCUCAAGCCUUGCUUGGUGUUGGGUGUUUGUCCUUUCCCUGCGUUAGGACUCGCCUUAAAUUCAUUGGCAGCCGGUGUAUUGGUUCGGAGCGCAGCACAAUUUGCGAUGCGGGCCGGUUAUCAUGGGCGUCCAGUAAGCACGUUUUCACACUUUUGACCUCGGAUCAAGUAGGGAUACCCGCUGAACUUAA
rnacentral:misc_RNA from 1 species